UUUCCAUUGGUGAACCUGUGGAAGGAUCAUUGUCGUGACCCUAACCAAAACAGACCGCGCACGCGUCAUCCAAUCUGCCGGUGAUGGCGCCGGCCAUUGCUCGGCUAAGUCCUCGACCACCUCCCCUCCUUGGAGUGGGAUCUCGGGGUAAAAGAACCCACGGCACCGAAGGCGUCAAGGAACACUGUGCCUAAUCCGGGGGCAUGGCUAGCUUGCUAGUCGUCCCCUAUGUUGCAAAGCUAUUUAAUCCUCACGACUCUCGGCAACGGAUAUCUCAGCUCUC
rnacentral:misc_RNA from 1 species